ensembl:snRNA U6 U6 spliceosomal RNA
AUGCACACUUCGGCAGCACAUAUACUAAAAUUGGAAUGAUACAGAGAAGAUUAGCAUGGCCCCUGCGCAAAUAUGACAUGUAGAUUCGUGAAGCGUUUUAUAUUAAA